CGUCCCGUAGCACAGUGGUCUAGUGCCCUCCCCUCAUAAGGGACGAGACAUGGGUUCGAAUCCCAUCGGGACAACCG
rnacentral:tRNA from 1 species